CUGUGUAUAAUGGUUUCUAGCUUCCCUGAACAGCUGCAUAUCACGGGGGCUGUUCGAUGCUAAUGCAGAAUGCCAUAGGAUUUUUGUGUUGGUUAAGGGCAGUCAGGUCUGGGGAGAACCAAGGGCUAUAUCUGUUCCUGGUUCUAAAUUUCUUGAAUGGCUUAUUUAAGAUGGUUAGAAAGGCAUUUCAAAAAAUAACCAGUAAUGCCAGAAAUGCUUACUUGCAAGUCCUUAACCAACAAUGCUUUAAGAAGUUUAAAGAAAAAAAAGUGUUAAGUAAAAAAUAAAUAAGUGAAAAAAAAGUAACAAAUAAUUAAAGAGCAGCAGUAAAAUAUGUGGAGACUAUAUACAGGGAGGUACAGAGUCAAUGUGGAGGCUAUAUACAGGGAGUACAGGUACAGAGUCAAUGUGGAGGCUAUAUACAGGGGGUACAGGUACAGAGUCAAUGUGGAGGCUAUAUACAGGGGGUACCGGUACAGAGUCAAUGUGGAGGCUAUAUACAGGAGGUACAGGUACAGAGUCAAUGUGGAGGCUAUAUACAGGGGGUACCGGUACAGAGUCAAUGUGGAGGCUAUAUACAGGG
ensembl:lncRNA